rfam:Gossypium hirsutum cultivar TM-1 chromosome 8, whole genome shotgun sequence
UAAUGAAAAUUUAUUUCAUUUCUACUAUUAAAAAUUAGUGUAGCUAAUGGAAUAACCAAAUAAUCCACGUGUAUCUCAUGCUGACGUAAGGGACCAGUUUUUAAUAAUAGAAAUGGAUAAAAUUUUUAACA